GCUAACGCUGGCGGCGUGUCUUAGCCAUGCAAGUCGAGCGGACUUAUGGGGUAACUUAUAAGUCAGCGGCGGACGGCGGAGUAACACGUAGCUAACCUACCCUCUGGACGGGGAUAACCUACCGAAAGGUGGGCUAAUACCCGAUGUAGUCAUCCUGUAUAGGGGUGAUGAAAGGUGGGCUUCUGUUUACAAGCUCAUGCUGGAGGAGGGGGCUGCGGCCUAUCAGGUAGUUGGUAGGGUAAUAGCCUACCAAGCCGAUGACGGGUAGCCGGCCUGAGAGGGUGACCGGCCCGAGGGGCACUGAGAUACGGGUCCCACUCCUACGGGAGGCAGCAGGCUAGAAAUUUGGGCAAUGGGGGAAACCCUGACCCAGUGACGCCGCGUGCAGGAAGGAGCCCUUCGGGGUGUAAAGUUCUUUUCUAUACGAGCAGUGCUAUAUAUAUGGAUAGUAUAUAUAGAGGGAUAGUAGUAUAGGAAUAAGCAACGGCUAACUCCGUG
rnacentral:rRNA from 1 species